UACGGGGGGGGCAAGCGUUGUUCGGAAUUACUGGGCGUAAAGGGCUCGUAGGUGGCCAACUAAGUCGGACGUGAAAUCCCUCGGCUUAACCGGGGAACUGCGUCCGAUACUGGUUGGCUUGAGUUUGGGAGAGGGAUGCGGAAUUCCAGGUGUAGCGGUGAAAUUCGUAGAUAUUAGGAAGAACACCAGUGGCGAAGGCGGCUCACUGGCCCGGUACUGACGCUGAGGCGCGAAAGCGUGGGGAGCGAACAGG
rnacentral:rRNA from 1 species